UACGUAGGGUGCGAGCGUUGCCCGGAUUUAUUGGGCUUAAAGGGCGCGUAGGCGGCUCUGCACGUCCGUUGUGAAAUCGCCCGGCUCAACUGGGCGGGGUCAGCGGAUACGGCGGAGCUUGAGCAAGCUAGGGGGCAAUGGAAUUCCCGGUGUAGUGGUGGAAUGCGUAGAUAUCGGGAGGAACACCAGUGGCGAAGGCGGUUGCCUGGGGCUUUGCUGACGCUGAGGCGCGAAAGCUAGGGGAGCAAACGGG
rnacentral:rRNA from 1 species